rnacentral:lncRNA from 1 species
CCGGCGCGCGCGCGCGGGGCGUGACGUGGCGGCGGCGGCGGCGGGAUGCUGCGGGCGCUGUCGCUGUCGCUGCUGGUGGCGGCGGCGCUGGCGGCGGGGGGGCGGCCCGGGACCCCCCCGGCUCCGCGGGGCCGAGCUGCGGGACCUGGCCCGGGGCAAGGUGGAGACCUGCGGCGGGUGACGGCUGAACCGCCUGAAAGAGGUGAAGGCCUUCGUCAGGCAGGACAUCCCCCUCUAGUACCCGCCGGCCCCGCUCGGCGGGUAGUGCUCGGUACCGGGGUGGGCGGCGGGGGACGGGGUGUGGGACGGGGAGGGACGGGGCGGGACGAGGGUAGAGGAUGGGACG